rnacentral:tRNA from 1 species
GCAGGUGUAAUCUAGUGGUUAGGAUCUUAGCCUUCCAAGCUAAAGGCCCGGGUUCGAAUCCCGGCACCUGCACC